rnacentral:rRNA from 1 species
CCUACGGGCGGCAGCAGUGGGGAAUAUUGCACAAUGGGGGAAACCCUGAUGCAGCGACGCCGCGUGAGUGAAGAAGUAUUUCGGUAUGUAAAGCUCUAUCAGCAGGGAAGAAGACAGACGGUACCUGACUAAGAAGCACCGGCUAACUACGUGCCAGCAGCCGCGGUAAUACGGAGGGUGCGCGCGUUAAUCGGAAUUACUGGGCGUAAAGGGCUCGUAGGCGGUAUGGCAAGUCAAGGGUGAAUUCCCCGCGCUCAACGUGGGAACUGCCUUUGAAACUGGCAAACUGGAGUGUGGGAGAGGAUAGUGGAAUUCCUGGUGUAGGAGUGAAAUCCGUAGAUAUCUGGAGGAACAUCAGUGGCGAAGGCGACUAACUAGCACAUAACUGACGCUGAGGAGCGAAAGCGUGGGUAGCAAACAGGAUUAGAUACCCCGGUAGUC